UGAUGAUCUUUUGAGUAGGAAUCUCAUUGAGCUUCAGUCAUGCGUUGCUUUGAAAUUACUUUUGUCUCCCACUGAUU
rnacentral:snoRNA from 1 species